rnacentral:rRNA from 1 species
GGGGAAGGGGCGCCGGCUAGGGUGAAGGAUUUACUCCGUAAGCUCUGGCUGGUCGAAGAUACCAGGCCGCUGCGACUGUUUAUUAAAAACACAGCACUCUGCAAACACGAAAGUGGACGUAUAGGGUGUGACGCCUCCCCGGUGCCGGAAGGUUAAUUGAUGGGGUUAGCGCGAGCGAAGCUCUUGAUCGAAGCCCCGGUAAACGGCGGCCGUAACAAUAACGGUCCUAAGGUAGCGAAAUUCCUUGUCGGGUAAGUUCCGACCUGCACGAAUGGCGUAACGAUGGCGGCGCUGUCUCCACCCGGGACUCAGUGAAAUUGAAAUCGCUGUGAAGAUGCAGUGUAUCCGCGGCUAGACGGAAAGACCCCGUGAACCUUUACUGUAGCUUUGCACUGGACUUUGAGCCUGCUUGUGUAGGAUAGGUGGGAGGCUUUGAAGCGUGGACGCCAGUUCGCGUGGAGCCAUCCUUGAAAUACCACCCUGGCAUGCUUGAGGUUCUAACUCUGGUCCGUAAUCCGGAUCGAGGACAGUGUAUGGUGGGCAGUUUGACUGGGGCGGUCUCCUCCUAAAGAGUAACGGAGGAGUACGAAGGUGCGCUCAGACCGGUCGGAAAUCGGUCGCAGAGUAUAAAGGCAAAAGCGCGCUUGACUGCGAGACAGACACGUCGAGCAGGUACGAAAGUAGGUCUUAGUGAUCCGGUGGUUCUGUAUGGAAGGGCCAUCGCUCAACGGAUAAAAGGUACUCCGGGGAUAACAGGCUGAUACCGCCCAAGAGUUCAUAUCGACGGCGGUGUUUGGCACCUCGAUGUCGGCUCAUCACAUCCUGGGGCUGAAGCCGGUCCCAAGGGCAUGGCUGUUCGCCAUUUAAAGUGGUACGCGAGCUGGGUUUAGAACGUCGUGAGACAGUUCGGUCCCUAUCUGCCGUGGACGUUUGAGAUUUGAGAGGGGCUGCUCCUAGUACGAGAGGACCGGAGUGGACGAACCUCUGGUGUUCCGGUUGUCACGCCAGUGGCAUUGCCGGGUAGCUAUGUUCGGAAAAGAUAACCGCUGAAAGCAUCUAAGCGGGAAACUUGCCUCAAGAUGAGAUCUCACUGGGAACUUGAUUCCCCUGAAGGGCCGUCGAAGACUACGACGUUGAUAGGCUGGGUGUGUAAGCGUUGUGAGGCGUUGAGCUAACCAGUACUAAUUGCCCGUGAGGCUUGACC